UACAGAGGGUGCGAGCGUUAAUCGGAAUUACUGGGCGUAAAGCGCGCGUAGACGGUUUUGUAAGUCGGAUGUGAAAUCCCCGGGCUCAACCUGGGAACUGCAUUCGAGACUGCAUUGCUAGAGUAUGGAAGAGGGAAGCGGAAUUUCCGGUGUAGCGGUGAAAUGCGUAGAUAUCGGAAGGAACACCAGUGGCGAAAGCGGCUUCCUGGUCCAAUACUGACGUUCAUGUGCGAAAGCGUGGGGAGCAAACAGG
rnacentral:rRNA from 1 species